UAUUGACUUUGAUUCCAGGGUCAAACUCUCGGCUACCCUUUCUCACCUCUUUUUACUCUUUCACCCUCCCCAUGUGUAUCAACACCGCCUUGAAUCAGGGCCAUUCCCGUCAAUUCACCAAACCAGAAUCCCGUUCUCCCACCUUUCUUACCCCUAACCCUCAACCACCAGUUGCCGCAUCAUAAAUUCGCCACCGGACCUCCACGUGUCACCCUACCAUUGGUUUGUUCACCCUCUAAAUAACCUCACAACUCUUCACUGAAAGAUAGGCUUCUUCUUCUUCAAUUCAUCAUUCAUCAAUCAUCAUCUCUCUCCAUCUAGUUCAUUUAACUUGCAGAUCUGUUGAUUUUACAGUUUACACAGAUUUUUCUUGCAGAUAAACGGGCUAGUGCCGCAGUCCCUUUGAAUAGCAAAUCCAAUUCUACGGCGUCGAGAAAUUGUUGUGCACGACCUUCUGCACUCUAUCUAGGAAACCGACAACUUCAGGGGCAAGACACACGAAAGUAUCGAAGGCAAAGGGAAUGAAAACAUGUUGAUUCUCAGUACAGGUUUUCUCAUGCUUAGCGACCCUCCUUGAUUCUGAUUCUGCCUUCAACACAGCCUGAUCAACCACGAAAUGGUUUUCCCUGAGUCCAACAAGAGGGACACCUCGGUAAGAUCCACACGGCAAACUCACACGCACCUUUAUAUCCACUUAUAGAUAUUUUACUAAUGUCUAGCAGCGGACUAAGGUAGCACCUUACGACACUCCUUAUUAUCACCGGCCUACAAGCCCUUUGGAACAUGUGUUGUAGAUACUUGUUGAUUUUUUAAUUUUAGUAGAAAUAGAAUUGAUGGUGUUUUAUGUUGUGAAUUGAUAAAAAAGGAAUUGUGUGCACUAUUGAUUGCUUGAAAUGACAGCAAAUGUAACGAAAUGUUCCUAAAAGUUAUCUUCUUUUAGAAACCAGUAUCAGAUUGUGCACCUUACCUAUUAUGUAAUAAAUGUUUUUAUCCCUC